UGGGGAAUUUUGGACAAUGGGCGAAAGCCUGAUCCAGCAAUGCCGCGUGUGUGAAGAAGGCCUUCGGGUUGUAAAGCACUUUUGUCCGGAAAGAAAUCCUUGGCUCUAAUACAGUCGGGGGAUGACGGUACCGGAAGAAUAAGCACCGGCUAACUACGUGCCAGCAGCCGCGGUAAUACGUAGGGUGCAAGCGUUAAUCGGAAUUACUGGGCGUAAAGCGUGCGCAGGCGGUUUGCUAAGACCGAUGUGAAAUCCCCGGGCCCAACCUGGGAACUGCAUUGGUGACUGGCAGGCUAGAGUAUGGCAGAGGGGGGUAGAAUUCCACGUGUAGCAGUGAAAUGCGUAGAGAUGUGGAGGAAUACCGAUGGCGAAGGCAGCCCCUGGGCCAAUACUGACGCUCAUGCACGAAAGCGUGGGGAGCAAACAGGAUUAGAUACCCUGGUAGUCCACGCCCUAAACGAUGUCAACUAGUUGUUGGGGAUUCAUUUCCUUAGUAACGUAGCUAACGCGUGAAGUUGACCGCCUGGGGAGUACGGUCGCAAGAUUAAAACUUAAAGGAAUUGACGGGGUCAUAGCU
rnacentral:rRNA from 1 species